rnacentral:misc_RNA from 1 species
GAACUUUUAACAUUAUCAUGAAAUUUAAAUGACAUUUUUACUCUAAUUAUACGUCCAUGUGAGUAUGACUUUCUCAUACAAAAACUAAUAAAUGACUCUUUUUUUUCGAUGUAACUUUAUUGGAGGAGGUGACCAACAAAUUGGCAUCUUAAGGGUUCAUAUUUGAUUAGUUACUCAAAAUUGGUAUAAAUCUUAAGGACUGAUAAAAUUGGUAUAGAUUUAGAAUUGAAGAAAAUGAUUUAAAGAAUUUUUUGUCAUUACGCCAAAAAGAAGAUAAGGAAUGGGAUUGAAACUGAGCCGAUGUGACACUAAUGCUUAAACAAAUUGACUAAUUGAAA